rnacentral:rRNA from 1 species
AGUGAACGCUGGCGGUAGGCCUAACACAUGCAAGUCGAACGGCAGCACAGUAAGAGCUUGCUCUUACGGGUGGCGAGUGGCGUACGGGUGAGGAAUACAUCGGAAUCUACUUUUUCGUGGGGGAUAACGUAGGGAAACUUACGCUAAUACCGCAUACGACCUCCGGGUGAAAGCAGGGGAUCUUCGGACCUUGCGCGAUUGAAUGAGCCGAUGUCGGAUUAGCUAGUUGGCGGGGUAAAGGCCCACCAAGGCGACGAUCCGAAGCUGGUCUGAGAGGAUGAUCAGCUACACUGGAACUGAGACACGGUCCAGACUCUUACGGGAGGCAGCAGUGGGGAAUAUUGGACAAUGGGGGCAAGCCUGAUCCAGCCAUACCGCGUAGGUGAAGAAGGCCUUAGGGUUGUAAAGCCCUUUUGUUGGGAAAGAAAAGCAGCAGGUUAAUACCCCGCUGUUCUGACGGUACCCAAAGAAUAAGCACCGGCUAACUUCGUG